rnacentral:snRNA from 1 species
ACAAGGAUUCCCUUAGUAAC